rnacentral:rRNA from 1 species
CCUACGGGAGGCAGCAGUAGGGAAUCUUCCACAAUGGGCGAAAGCCUGAUGGAGCAACGCCGCGUGGGUGAAGAAGGUCUUCGGAUCGUAAAACCCUGUUGUUAGAGAAGAAAGUGCGUGAGAGUAACUGUUCACGUUUCGACGGUAUCUAACAAGAAAGCCACGGCUAACGACGUGCCAGCAGCCGCGGUAAUACGUAGGUGGCAAGCGUUAUCCGGAUUUAUUGGGCGUAAAGGGAACGCAGGCGGUCUUUUAAGUCUGAUGUGAAAGCCUUCGGCUUAACCGGAGUAGUGCAUUGGAAACUGGGAGACUUGAGUGCAGAAGAGGAGAGUGGAACUCCAUGUGUAGCGGUAAAAUGCGUAGAUAUAUGGAAGAACACCAGUGGCGAAAGCGGCUCUCUGGUCUGUAACUGACGCUGAGGUUCGAAAGCGUGGGUAGCAAACAGGAUUAGAUACCCGAGUAGUC